GACGAACGCUGGCGGUGUGCUUAACACAUGCAAGUCGAACGGUAAGGCCCUUUCGGGGGUCCACGAGUGGCGAACGGGUGAGUAACACGUGAGUAACCUGCCCUCAUCUCUGGGAUAACAGUCGGAAACGGUUGCUAAUACUGGAUAUGAGCUUGCAAGGCAUCUUGUGGGUUGGAAAGAUUUUUUUUGGUUGGGGAUGGACUCGCGGCCUAUCAGCUUGUUGGUGAGGUAGUGGCUCACCAAGGCUUCGACGGGUAGCCGGCCUGAGAGGGCGACCGGCCACAUUGGGACUGAGAUACGGCCCAAACUCCUACGGGAGGCAGCAGUGGGGAAUAUUGCACAAUGGACGGAAGUCUGAUGCAGCAACGCCGCGUGCGGGAUGACGGCCUUCGGGUUGUAAACCGCUUUCAAUUGUGACGAAGCUUUUUUGUGACGGUAGCAGUAGAAGAAGCACCGGCUAACUACGU
rnacentral:rRNA from 1 species